ACGCUCGACACCUACGGGAGGCAGCAGUGGGGAAUAUUGCACAAUGGAGGAAACUCUGAUGCAGCGAUGCCGCGUGAGGGAAGAAGGUUUUCGGAUUGUAAACCUCUGUCUUUGGGGACGAUAUGACGGUACCCAAGGAGGAAGCUCCGGCUAACUACGUGCCUGCAGCCGCGGUAAUCUGGAGGCGGGCGUGGACAAGGC
rnacentral:rRNA from 1 species